CUAAUGGAAACACAAAAGAUGAGACGUGUUAUUUUGUUAAGGCGUUAAUCAGAUGCAAUCUUAAAUCUUUGGCCGAUGUAUCAGAGAGGAUGGCUGUGCAGGGGCAAACUGAACCGCUCGAGAAAUAGUCGGUAGGGAGGAAAGCAACUGAACAUUGAUGAUGUGAAUAGUUUUCAUGGUAAACCCUGAAGGCCAUUUUAGCUCCCACUUGUGCUGUGCCAUGUAAAGAUUGUUCAGAGCUAUACUACCACAUUCUCUGAAGUUUUGGGUGUAAGUCUGGUGGUUGAUUUUCCAUCACAUGGAGAUGCAUUUGGUUGGUUUUUUACAUGCUUUCUUUUUUUCUCGUGUUACCUGGUUUCUUUCCUUUUCGAAGGGCAACGAUCCUUUACGCUAGCUAUCCAUGGAUGAAAUUUGGAAGAUUCUUAUUUAUGUUAAUUAACUUCAGUUUGUGCAGCAUGGUAGCAGAAAUUUAGGGCCUAUGCAUUGUAG
rnacentral:misc_RNA from 1 species